AUUGAACGCUGGCGGCAGGCCUAACACAUGCAAGUCGAGCGGAUGAAGGGAGCUUGCUCCUGGAUUCAGCGGCGGACGGGUGAGUAAUGCCUAGGAAUCUGCCUGGUAGUGGGGGAUAACGUCCGGAAACGGGCGCUAAUACCGCAUACGUCCUGAGGGAGCAAGUGGGGGAUCUUCGGACCUCACGCUAUCAGAUGAGCCUAGGUCGGAUUAGCUAGUUGGUGGGGUAAAGGCCUACCAAGGCGACGAUCCGUAACUGGUCUGAGAGGAUGAUCAGUCACACUGGAACUGAGACACGGUCCAGACUCCUACGGGAGGCAGCAGUGGGGAAUAUUGGACAAUGGGCGAAAGCCUGAUCCAGCCAUGCCGCGUGUGUGAAGAAGGUCUUCGGAUUGUAAAGCACUUUAAGUUGGGAGGAAGGGCAGUAAGUUAAUACCUUGCUGUUUUGGCGUUACCAACAGAAUAAGCACCGGCUAACUUCGUG
rnacentral:rRNA from 1 species